rnacentral:misc_RNA from 1 species
GGUUGCACCAGAUACAUGUACAGUAGAACUCAUAUGUGGAUAAUAGCUAAAGUAAAUUACGAAGAAUGAGACAUUUGACAGAAUUUGAAUCAAUUACGAAAAACCCUAAAGCACUGUGACCACAAGUUUUGAAGCUGGUUUAUUCUGUCAAGUUUACAAUCGUUCUUGUAAUCUGAAUUUUGAUAAUGGCCAUCUCUAAUGUCACCCGACAUGCCUUGGAACAAAUACCUUUGGCAGGCUAUUUUUGCACAAACAACAUUGCACACACAUUGUGUGAGUAUUCACAUGCCGAAAUAACUUUUGCAUGGCGUUCAGAGCAUUCAACUGGAGUAACAAACUGUCUCGGGCUGAAAGUGUUUGUUCCAGAGAUGCAGUUAAAUCUUCUAUGAGCUUAUCACGUUGGCUAACAGCUCUUUCGAAUUCUUGGAGCUGUAAGUAGAGGAUAGAAAAUAUGAGUGAAAAGAGUAUUGAUGACUAAGAAAAUGUGUGAUAAUUCAGAAGUUCAAAAAACAGAUAAU